AAUAGUCCUGUAGGUAAAAAGAGAAAACUUCGAGAUCUAAUCCAGAGUACCACGAGACACGUGAAACCUUGUGGGAAGCAGGGAGGACCACCUCCCAAGGCUAAAUACUACCUAGUGACCGAUAGUGAAGCAGUACCGUGAGGGAAAGGUGAAAAGAACCCCGGAAGGGGAGUGAAAUAGAACCUGAAACCGUGUGCCUACAACCGAUCGGAGCACGUUAAAGUGUGACGAUGUGCUUUUUGUAGAACGAGCCAGCGAGUUACGCUAUGUAGCAAGGUUAAGUACUUAAGGUAUGGAGCCGAAGGGAAACCGAGUCUGAAAAGGGCGAAAAGUUGCAUGGUGUAGACCCGAAACCGGGUGACCUAUCCAUGGCCAGGUUGAAGCGAGAGUAAAAUCUCGUGGAGGACCGAACCACGUUGGUGUUGAAAAACCAUGGGAUGAGCUGUGGAUAGCGGAGAAAUUCCAAUCGAACUCGGAGAUAGCUGGUUCUCCUCGAAAUAGCUUUAGGGCUAGCGUCGUGUAAUUGAGUAAUGGAGGUAGAGCACUGAAUGGGCUAGGGGCUAUAGUAGUUACCGAACCCUAUCAAACUCCGAAUGCCAUAUACUUGUAUCACGGCAGUCAGACUGCGAAUGAUAAGAUCCGUAGUCAAAAGGGAAACAGCCCAGACCAUCAGCUAAGGUCCCAAAGUGUAAGUUAAGUGGAAAAGGAUGUGGGAUUUCUAAGACAACUAGGAUGUUGGCUUAGAAGCAGCCACUCAUUUAAAGAGUGCGUAAUAGCUCACUAGUCAAGAGAUCCUGCGCCGAAGAUGUCCGGGGCUCAAACUUACCACCGAAGCUAUGGGUGUACACUAUGUGUACGCGGUAGAGGAGCUUUCUGUAUGGGUUGAAGUCGUACCGUAAGGAGCGGUGGACUGUACAGAAGUGAGAAUGCUGGCAUAAGUAGCGAGAAAUAAGUGAGAAUCUUAUUGGCCGAAAACCUAAGGUUUCCUGGGGAAGGUUCGUCCGCCCAGGGUUAGUCGGGACCUAAGCCGAGGCCGAAAGGCGUAGGUGAUGGACAAUCGGUUGAUAUUCCGAUACCGCCUAUUUACGUUUGAGAAAUGGGGUGACGCAGUAGGAUAAGAUGUGCGCACUAUUGGAUGUGCGUCUAAGCAUUUAGGCAUGCUUGAUAGGUAAAUCCGUCGAGCUAAGCUGAGGUGUGAUGGGGAGCCAUUUAUGGCGAAGUAUCUGAUUCCACACUGCCAAGAAAAGCCUCUAUCGAGUGAAUAGGUGCCCGUACCGCAAACCGACACAGGUAGGUGAGGAGAGAAUCCUAAGGCCAUCGGAAGAAUUGCUGUUAAGGAACUCGGCAAAUUGACCCCGUAACUUCGGGAGAAGGGGUGCCUACGAAAGUAGGCCGCAGAGAAUAGGCCCAAGCAACUGUUUAGCAAAAACACAGGUCUCUGCUAAAGCGAAAGCUGAUGUAUAGGGGCUGACGCCUGCCCGGUGCUGGAAGGUUAAGGGGAACACUUAGCGUAAGCGAAGGUGUGAACUUAAGCCCCAGUAAACGGCGGCCGUAACUAUAACGGUCCUAAGGUAGCGAAAUUCCUUGUCGGGUAAGUUCCGACCCGCACGAAUGGCGUAAUGAUUUGGGCACUGUCUCAACAGCAAAUCCGGCGAAAUUGUAGUGCAAGUGAAGAUGCUUGCUACCCGCGAUUGGACGGAAAGACCCCGUAGAGCUUUACUGUAGCUUAGCAUUGAAUCUCGGUAUUGUCUGUACAGGAUAGGUGGGAGACUUGGAAGCUUGGGCGUCAGCCUGAGUGGAGUCAUCCUUGGGAUACCACCCUGACAGUACUGGGGUUCUAACCGGCGGCCAUGAAUCUGGUCACGGGACAUUGUUAGGUGGGCAGUUUGACUGGGGCGGUCGCC
rnacentral:rRNA from 1 species